rnacentral:rRNA from 1 species
CGCACGGGUGAGUAACACGUGAAUAAUCUACCUUCGAGUGGGGAAUAACUGAGAGAAAUCUUAGCUAAUACCGCAUAAUACCUACGGGUCAAAGCAGCAAUGCGCUUGAAGAGGAGUUCGCGGCAGAUUAGUUAGUUGGCGGGGUAAUGGCCCACCAAGACGAUGAUCUGUAUCCGGCCUGAGAGGGCGCACGGACACACUGGAACUGAAACACGGUCCAG